UGUAGCUCUGAUGCAGCUCUGAUGUAGCUCAGGUGUAGCUCAGGUGUAGCUCUGAUGUAGCUCAGGUGUAGCUCUGAUGUAGCUCAGGUGUAGCUCUGAUGUAGCUCUGAUGUAGCUCAGGUGUAGCUCUGAUGUAGCUCUGAUGUAGCUCUGAUGUAGCUCAGGUGUAGCUCUGAUGUAGCUCUGAUGUAGCUCAGGUGUAGCUCAGGUGUAGCUCUGAUGUAGCUCAGGUGUAGCUCUGAUGUAGCUCUGAUGUAGCUCAG